rnacentral:lncRNA from 1 species
CCAGAGUUAACCACAUUCGUCUGUAAGUUCUUAACUCCCGGCAUCUUGGUGUUCACCGCCGUCGCGACCGUCUCACGAAUAGCCUCCGUUGCCGCAAGCGCCCCAGGUAGGAGUUCAAGCUGCUCCUCACCACCAGGCGUCAAAAAGCGUGAAAGGGUAAGUAGAUGCUGCUCCACGUUUACGGCAUUCGUGGUCAAAGCAUCCACAACAACACGUGCUCGAGUGCUACGGAAAAUUCCAUUGCUGCCAGUUGUAGCCGGCGCAUUCGGGCCUGUGCCGGGUGCACUGAGAGCUUGCGGUGUCAAAGCCACAGCACGACCACGACGUCUGGGUAAAUAAAUUACGGGGGCGUUUGGAACAGGCGCCCAGGCAGUUGCCUGACGUCCCUGCUGGGCUAAUUGCCCAAGCAUCUUCCCUAACGCACAACCAGGAAACGCUGUCAAUAUCCUGUUUAGCGGCACCCUGAUGUAACAAUAAGUAUUAAUAUUUAGCUUAAGCGGUUAUCGUGAAGGUGGCCGAAACGCGUUGGAACAAAACAGCAGUACAGUACGUAUCAGAAUUGUAACCUAAGGUAGACUUGCA